CAACUCUAAUAGGAAGAAAGGAAACAAAAUAAAUUAACAAGUGGAAGUUAUAUGAUGACUAUGCCUCAUCUCCAUGUACGCCCGACCUCAACUAAGCUAACCUGCAAGUUAGGCAUUUUUAAAACGAAAGGCUCAGGGGAAAACAUUUGAACACGUUAGAGUGAGUGGACAAAAAUAAAUUUGAAAAGAAAUAAAUCUUUAUGAUUUCCCGAUUUAACUUCUGUGGAAAAACAAUUAAUGGCAUGCAACAAGCUCAAAAGCUUUUAAAAAUUACCAAAACGUGACUAGCCGCGCUAGUCCCCAACACCUCAUGAAAAUAAGAGCCUCUCAGGCUCAAAUAAAAUAUGUAUGUAUUACACUCGUCAUAUCCGUUGUAUGAAUUUUCUUGAAACAACAAAGACAAAUAGAAAAUUCACACAAGGCUACGACGAUUGCGUCUAACGCUCACGUCGCACCAUAAUAAAAUUUUUAUUCCAGUAUGGUGGAAAAGCACGUAUAGCUAGCUAGCAUUUCUUUAUAUACAUACUAUUCUCAUAAUCAUCCAUAUACAUAUCCACCGAAAAUCUCAUUUUCGGUAACUCUCCAAAAAUAAUGAAAAUUGUCAAUUAUCAUAAAAAGCAAUAUGCACACGACUCCACCGAAAAUCUCAUUUUCAGUAACUUUCCAAAUAACACGAUAGCCAUUUAAAAUGAGAACAUUUACUUCUGAAAAUGACUUCGCGAAAAUAAACAAUUUUACAAAUUGAUAUUCAAUAAAAAUCAAUCAUUUAAUAUAGAAUCACCGCAUGCAUAUAUUUUAAAACAAAAGUCCACUCACAACUUUAAGCCUAAGUCUGACAUCGAUCCGGGGUCUCUUCUGCUUGAGCCUCCUCACGUCCUGUUUUCAAAUGUAAAAUUAAUUUCCCAACUAAAAAUCCAAUAUUUAAACAAAAUAGGCAAAAUUAACCGAGAGCUAUACUCACGCUCAUCAUUGCCUAGCUUCGAUACGGUCCACACCUCAACACUAAAACCAGCAGCCUUAACUACACCCUUCCACAGAUUAUACGACUUUAAUCCAACGGCCGGAUUCUACCUUAUUAAUUCGCCAAAAUUACCAAACUUCGGAAAUUCACAAACCUAUCCAAAACUCAUCCAAAAAUUCCAUAAUUCACAUCAAUAAACUCCCUUUAAUAUUCCACAUUUAAAACCACAAAAAUUUCCCAAACAGCGGCGGCGCCGCUGCCAGCUCCGCCGGCAACGGCCGUCGAAGGCCGACUCCGGCGACCUCCAAUGCCUAUGAAAUUUUGACAGCAUCUUCCUCUCAACCCCCUCUUCAACUUUUCUUAACUAGCACAAACAUUAAUUCCUAGCCUAACUAAGGUAAUCGACUAAAAACAGCAAAAGAGCCCUAGAAAUUUCAACUCCAUAUUUCUCCUCACCUGAAGCGAACCGGAGUGAGUCCUUUUAGGGGAAGGUCACUGGGUUGAAGACCUUCAAAACCAUAUAUAGCUUGCCCGAAUUGGUGGCCGGAGAAGGAAGUUCCGGUAAUGGAGGACUUUGGGCAGUCAGACCUUUCGGGCCCGAUAUCUCUCUCACGGCGGUGCUAGGGAGCCUCUCACUGGUCCAGGAAGGAAGCUAGGUCGACGGCCGACCGUUUGGGACCGGUGCUGCGGCGAACGAUGGCCGGACGGCGACGGACGAGCUGCUGCAAGCCGGCGGGUCGGGGACGGGUCGGGGACAGCUCGGGGGAGAGGGAGAGAGUCCGGGAAAGGGAGAAAAGAAAAUGGGUUGGGCUUUCCAACCGGUUCCACCAUCCCAUAUCAUUUAAACCCAACAUCAGAAUAACACCACAAAAUAAAUACCCCAAUAAAAAUUACCUUUACUAGCUAAAAUUACCAUUUUUACCGUCGUCACAUUUUUCUCCUACGAAUAAAUCCUCCGAAAUAAUCGUCCCUUAAAAUCCCUCUAGGGACCAAAUAAACUAUAACCUCAUUGACGGAGACGGUAAAAUUCUUAUUAAAUACCAAGCUAGUAAAUAAGGUAAAAAUUUACGGGUCGGGAUUCACCCAAACACACUCACUACCAGAAGAAAGGCUUUAGCCAACGAAAAUAAAAAAACUAGGCCGACGAAUUAUUUUUCGUCGGCUAAAAUCCACGGUAGCCGACGAAAUUUUUCUUCGUCGGCUAUAGUCUGUGAACUUUAGCCGACGACUUUAAAAAUUCUUUAGCCGACGAAAUUAAAAUUUCGUCAUCUAAAGUGCCUUAUAUUUGUAGAUCUGGACAGCAGCUCAUCUUCGGUGGUUAUUUUCCGUAAAAUUUUUAUAUGACUUGUUGCGUCUCAUCGAAUUGAAACUAUUUUCAGUUGAAGGUUCAGCCAAAAUACGUAAUUUAGACGGUCCAAUGACCUUUUCCGUGCGUUUAGGGGUUUGACUUACGAGAUUGACCGUCCGGAUCGAGCCCUUAACCUUGUCGGAUCAAGUUGAAUUUUUUUCCAUACAUGUAUUUUAUCAUGAUGGUCAGAUCUGACGGUCGGAUUUUCUUUUCUGAAGUUUGAUCAUCACGAUCACAACAUGCCUACUAAUGUUGUGUAACUUGUUUACCAAGUGUUAAGUAAAUGUUCCGUUUCAAAAACAAACUAUACGUAGAACCUUCAAACGCAAAAAAGUCAUGAAAUAAGAUAUAACCAGAAUGGUGAAAUACAUCUACGGUUGAAAAAUCACGGUAUUCCGGUAAAGUCUUGGUGCUGAUAGUUACGGUCAAUGCAAUUUUCCAUUCUUUCUCCUUUUAGGUAGCCCUAUCUUCGGUGGUUAUUUUCCGUAAAAUUUUUAUACAAAUUGUUGCGUCUCAUCGAUUUGAAACUAUUUUCAGUUGAAGGUCCGGCCAAAAUACGUAAUUUAGACGGUCCAAUGACAUUUUCCGUGCGUUUACGGGUUUGACUUACGGAAUUAACCGUUCGGAUCGAGCCCUUAACCUUGUCGGAUCAAGUUGAAUUUUUUCCCAUAUAUGUAUUUUAUCAUGAUGGUCAGAUCUGAUGGUCGGAUUUUCGUUUCUCAAGUUUGAUCAUCACAAUCACGAAUUUUCAAUAAUGUCGUCGGCUAUAGUUAAUAAAAUAAAAUAAAACAAAUAAAUUGAAAAUAUUAAAUAAAAGUACUAUAGCCGAUGAAUUUCAUUACUUUAGCCGACGAUAUUCACAGGUUUAAUUUCGUCGGCUAAAGUUUGAUUUUGACUUUUGAGGAUAAAUUGUUUCCGCCAAAAAUUUCGGAAAAUUUCAAACUUCCUUUUAAAUUUUUAGCUCUCUCUUUAACCUACUUCCCUCUUCCUUAAACAUCUUAUCUUCUUCUUUCUCUCACCAAAAACUUCACCUAAUAACUUUUUCUUUCUCUUCCCCACCGAAACAAACCCACUCCCUCUCUCUUUCCUCUCCCUCUUCUCCUCCUCUCCCUCUCCUCCCUCUCCCUCUCCUCCCUCUUCCAACUCCUUAAAUCGAUCUGGUUCCUCCACUCCCCGACUCACCACCUCCUCCUCUCCCCCAUUUCCUCCUCUCUCGAUUGAUCUGGGUCCAUAUCUUCUUCUAUUUGCUCAUUCGAGUUGCCAGAAAGCUUUAGAAUUUGUGGAUCUUUUUAGGACUGGUUCUAAGGAUUUUAUGUUCAGAUCUGGAGUUGUUUGUUGAUGAAUUUGUUGUUGUUGUUGUUGUUCGUGAUGGUGUUGUAUUUGUUGUUGUUGGUGUUUGUGUUUGUGUUUGUGUUUGUGGUACUUGCGGUGGGUGCUGGUAGUGGUUAGUCGACGACAACGAUGGUGGAGGUGUGGGUUGAAUUAAAUUCCGAUUUGGGUCGGGUCUAUCUGGGAUUUUGGUGGCGGUAAUCGGUGUUAUUUUGUUAGUGAUCGAUGGUAUAUGGGGUGAGCUUUGGUUUUGGUGGUGGCGGCGUGCGGUGGUUUUGGUGGCAGCGGCGUUUGGUGGAUUUGGGUUGAGAACAAUAAAAAUCGAAAUAAAAAUAAAAUGAAAAAACCGUCGAAAAUAAAUAAUUAAUAAAAUAAAUUAAUAUUUGUUCCCAAAAAUAAUGUUUUUAAUUUUUUAAUUUUUUAUUACAUACUUUAGCCGACGAAUAUCUUAAAUGUUUCGUCGGUUAAAGUCUCAGACUAUGGUCGACGAAACAUUUAAGAUAUUCGUCGGCUAAAGUCUUGGACAAUAGCCGACGACGACUUCUAGAUUUGUCGGCUAAAUUCUGAGACAAUAGUCGACGACGUCUUCUAGUUUCGUCGGCUAAAGCCAUCGCCGACGGCCCUUUCUCGACGAAACCAUAACCGACGAGGGGCUAAGAUAUUAGCCGACGAAUUAAGCUAACAGGCCGACAAAACUUUUUUGUCGGCUAAAAUGUUUGUCCUGGUAGUGAUUAUUCAAAUAUGUAUUUUUAAUCUUGUUUAUCAUUUUCAUGUUUAAGAAUUUGAAAUGAACAAUGAAUUUGUAAUGAUUUCUCAAGAACUAACACAAAUAAUAGAUAUGAACAUCUGUAAAAUGUUAAUUUAUGUAAAUAUAUACUAAUUAUACAAUAAUAAUAGUGUUAAUAUAGUCACAUAAUAUAAUAUUUCAUGGAUUUUUAGAUUAAGAGUAUUUUAGGUACUUUACGUUAUGUAUUUAGUAAAAUAUCUGAAUGAGAAAUUAAAUAAAUGGUGUAUUGAAAAAUAGAUGUGUAUUAAGUAAUUUAGGGUAUAUAUAUAAAAUUUCUGAGCUUUUUUUGGGUCGUUUGUAAACAAAAAAAUAAAAAAAUAAAAAAUAAAAAGUGUAAAACUAGCGUGGCACAGGAGAAAAAGUAAAGUAAAUGCGUN
rnacentral:lncRNA from 1 species